CUGGAGGGGUGGAGCAGGGGAGGGGAAGGGGCCGGGAGGCCUCUUUCCCCAACUCCUCCCAAGUAAAACCUUCCAACUAUCCGCUCUGCCCUUGCAGCUCCAAGGGCUCCCGGCAGCGUGGGUGGGUGCGUUGACUGUGUGUGCUUAGUCCACGAAUCAGUAAACAUUUAUUAAGCACCUGCUAUUCGCCGGGCAAGGUGAUAAGUGUUGUGGGGAUGCAACCGCUAAGGCCUGUUGAUUAUUUACAAUCUUACUCUGUAUAUAGCUUGUUUGUGCCCAGUUGUGAGCAGUGUCUCCCCCACCAGACUGUGAGCUCCUUGAAGAGCAGAGACUGUCCUUUACAAGUCUUUUCAUCUGCAGUGCUUAGUACUAUGCCUGACAUGUUGAUCAAAGCAAAAGACGGUCCCUGACCUCAAGGGGCUCACAGUCUUAAUGGAGAGACAAUAUACAGACAAGCCGUGUACAAACAAGAUAAGAUAUAGGAUAAAUUGGAUAUGAUCAACAGGGGAAGGCACUAGGCAUUAAGGGGAGUCCGGAAAGGCUUCCUGUAGAAGAUGGGGUUUUAGCUGGGAUGUGAAAGAAAGCAGGAGAUGGAGAUGAGAACAUUCUAGGCAUGGGGGAAAGCAAGUGAAAACGCAUGGAGGAGAUGGAGUGCCGGGUUCGACUUUAUAGUAAGGUGGCCAGUGUCACUGGAUCAAAGAAUAUUGGGGGAGGGUAAGGGAGAGAGUCAGGUCUAAGAAGACUAGAAACAGGAGAUUUUAUAUAUGAUCCUCGAGGUAAUAGGGAAGGCACUGGUGUGUUUUGAGUAGGGUGGUGAUGACCUGGUCGGACAUGGUUCUGCACUUUAGGAAAAUCACUUUAGUGCACAGGAACACCAACAGGCUCUUGUAGUAGUCUAGGUGUGAAAUGAAGAGGACCUGCAAGAGAAUGGUGGACGAGUCAAUGGAGAGAAGGGGGAGUAGUGUGGAACCAUGGGUAUGCCUCUCUGGCCACCUCUCUAAAGCUGUGGGCAGGGUGUUGUAUGAAUGCUCCGAGGGCCACUCUCUCAUCCCGUUAGAGCUGGUACUGCUCUGCUCUCCCAACGUCCCGGCUCGGCCUGCUUUCCCCUCGCUUGCCCAGCUUUUGCUUUCUUCUUCUUCUGUCUUCCUAGCCCAACAGCAGCCUCCGCAAUGUCUCCCUCGCUUGAUGGUGCUCAGGAAGUCCAGCUGCAGAAUUACAUUAAGAUGGCAGAGUAAGAAGUCUCUAAAGACCCCAUCACCUUAAAAUCCCUUGCAUGACUACUCCGUAAAUGAAGG
rnacentral:lncRNA from 1 species